rnacentral:piRNA from 1 species
UAGACACGAGUGCGUCCUGCGGUACUGG